UUCACUCCUCAGGCGCGGAGGAAAUGGUGGAAGGCCCAGCUCUGGAUGAUCCUGGGCGCUGCCCACGUUACCCGUUACCAGGAAGAAGAGGACUCCUGACCUUCAGGCUCAGUGUGGCUCGGUCAUAUUCGAACACCCGGAUAGCUGGAUUGUUGGCCCCAUUGACCACUCCAAGAGCAUCCGAAAGCUGUCGGUGUGGUGGUGCCCGAAGAACUGCCCUGCUAUGACGCGAUGAUGCUUCCGGACCACCUUCACGAGUGAGCGGCAGACCGGGGAUGCCGAGCACGUCAGAAUGGAAAUGAUCACAGUGCACUAUAUUCUGCCACCACCUACCAGCAUGGCCUUGGAGAUAUAU
rnacentral:lncRNA from 1 species